rnacentral:rRNA from 1 species
UACGUAGGGGGCAAGCGUUGUCCGGAAUUAUUGGGCGUAAAGAGCGUGUAGGCGGUCCGGUAAGUCGGCCGUGAAAGUCGGGGGCUCAACCCUCGGAUGCCGGUGGAUACUGUCGGGCUUGAGUACGGAAGAGGCGAGUGGAAUUCCUGGUGUAGCGGUGAAAUGCGCAGAUAUCAGGAGGAACACCAAUUGCGAAGGCAGCUCGCUGGGACGUUACUGACGCUGAGACGCGAAAGCGUGGGGAGCAAACAGG